rnacentral:tRNA from 1 species
GAGGGUAUAGCUCAAAUGGUAGAGCACAUGCUUAGCAUACACAAGGUUCUGGGUUCAAUCCCCAGUACCUCCU